rnacentral:rRNA from 1 species
UACGUAGGGCGCAAGCGUUGUCCGGAAUUAUUGGGCGUAAAGAGCUCGUAGGCGGUCUGUUACGUCUGCUGUGAAAACCCGGGGCUUAACCCCGGGCUUGCAGUGGAUACGGGCAGACUAGAGGCAGGUAGGGGAGAAUGGAAUUCCCGGUGUAGCGGUGAAAUGCGCAGAUAUCGGGAGGAACACCAAUAGCGAAGGCAGCUCGCUGGGACGUUACUGACACUGAGGCGCGAAAGCGUGGGGAGCGAACAGG